CGGUGCUGGAAGGUUAAGGGGAUCUGUUAGAGCAAUCGAAGCAGUGAACUUAAGCCCCAGUAAACGGCGGCCGUAACUAUAACGGUCCUAAGGUAGCGAAAUUCCUUGUCGGGUAAGUUCCGACCCGCACGAAAGGCGUAACGAUUUGGGCACUGUCUCAACAACAGACUCGGUGAAAUUGUAAUUCCGGUGAAGAUGCCGGAUACCUGCGACAGGACGGAAAGACCCCAUGGAGCUUUACUGUAGCUUGACAUUGGGUCUUGGUACUACAUGUACAGGAUAGGUGGGAGGCUUUGAAACCAGGACGCCAGUUUUGGCGGAGCCAUCCUUGGGAUA
rnacentral:rRNA from 1 species